rnacentral:rRNA from 1 species
UCGAGAAUUUUUCACAAUGGGCGCAAGCCUGAUGGAGCGACGCCGCGUGGGGGAUGAAUGGCUUCGGCCCGUAAACCCCUGUCAUUUGCGAUCAAACCUUGCUAUUUAAAAGAUGGCGAGCUGAUAGUAGCGAAAGAGGAAGGGACGGCUAACUCUGUGCCAGCAGCCGCGGUAAUACAGAGGUCCCAAGCGUUGUUCGGAUUCACUGGGCGUAAAGGGUGCGUAGGUGGUGGGGUAAGUCGGAUGUGAAAUCUCGGAGCUCAACUCCGAAAUGGCAUUGGAAACUACCCUGCUAGAGGGUCGGAGGGGGGACUGGAAUUCUCGGUGUAGCAGCGAAAUGCGUAGAUAUCGAGAGGAACACCAGUGGCGAAGGCGAGUCCCUGGACGACUCCUGACACUGAGGCACGAAAGCUAGGGGAGCAAACA